rnacentral:tRNA from 1 species
GUUCUUGUAGCUCAGUUAGUUAGAGCACCCGUUUAAUAAGUAGGAGGUUUUGAGUUCAACUCUAACCAAGAGCA